rnacentral:rRNA from 1 species
GACGAACGCUGGCGGCGUGCUUAACACAUGCAAGUCGAACGGAAAGGCCCUGCUUUUGUGGGGUGCUCGAGUGGCGAACGGGUGAGUAACACGUGAGUAACCUGCCCUUGACUUUGGGAUACCUUCAGGAAACGGGGGCUAAUACCGGAUAGGAGCUCCGGCGGCAUGGGGGGGGUGGAAAAGUUUCGGCGGUUGGGGAUGGACUCGCGGCUUAUCAGCUUGUUGGUGGGGUAGUGGCUUACCAAGGCUUUGACGGGUAGCCGGCCUGAGAGGGUGACCGGCCACAUUGGGACUGAGAUACGGCCCAGACUCCUACGGGAGGCAGCAGUGGGGAAUAUUGCACAAUGGGCGGAAGCCUGAUGCAGCAACGCCGCGUGCGGGAUGACGGCCUUCGGGUUGUAAACCGCUUUCGCCUGUGACGAAGCGUGAGUGACGGUAAUGGGUAAAGAAGCACCGGCUAACUACGUG